rnacentral:rRNA from 1 species
CACGUAGGGAGCAAGCGUUGUCCGGAUUUAUUGGGCGUAAAGAGCUCGUAGGUGGUUCGGUAGGUCAGGUGUGAAACCUCCAGGCUCAACCUGGAGACGCCACUUGAUACUGCUGUGACUGGAGUCCGGUAGGGGAGCGUGGAAUUCCUGGUGUAGCGGUGAAAUGCGCAGAUAUCAGGAGGAACACCAGCGGCGAAGGCGGCGCUCUGGGCCGGUACUGACACUGAGGAGCGAAAGCGUGGGUAGCAAACAGG